GUUUGCAUCGUCACCAAGUCAGCUCCUUUACAGGGAUCUCGCGAUCUUAGAUUCCAUGACCAAUAAUUGAGGGUCCAGUUUAUAAACAACAAGUUCACUUGAAUAACUAUUGGAUGACAGUCUACCUAAAGGCUAAAGCUUCAUAUCAACUGCUGUUUACUCCACAGAGCCACUGAACACAAGAGAAUACAGUAAUGAGUUCCAUUGGAGAUAUGAGUGAUGAGAUUCAACACAAAAGUUAUUGGAGGUUUAGCAAACAAGAUUUCUUACCAGAAGAGUCCUUCCAAAGCUGGGGAAACUACCGUUCCGCAUUGUCGGAGACAUGUUUCCGGUUCAAGGACCGUCUCAUCAGCCGGUCAGAUGAUGUCAAUGAGAUUGGGGAGCUUCGGAAACAAAGUGAGAACGAGAUGAAACGUUG
rnacentral:lncRNA from 1 species